rnacentral:lncRNA from 1 species
UGAAAAUGAGCCACCAAUGUCUGAGGUUAAGAUAGUUGAAAAAGUUUGCCGAAAAAAUUCCAGUUAUAUCUAUGAGAAACCUCGUGGAGUCAAACCUCCAUCUCGAAGGUAGUAUAUUAGGGGAACCAAUGGCAGCAACAAUAGACAAAUGGAGAGCAUCAUUGCUGAGCAAAAGUCACAACUGGAGGCUGCACAUUCUAAAAUUGAGGAACAACAAGCUCAACUUCGGUGCCUAUAAGAGUCAAUAGAUUGGUUGAUGGCAGAAGCGAAAAGCAGGACUGUAGCUAAUGCCAAUAGCUAAUUUUAUAAAUUAAGAAGGUAAGAUAUUCUAAAUUUUGAAUGCUGGUUAGUAGCUAAAAUAUCUAGUUGUAUCAUCAUUCUUUCAAACAAUUUUAGUUUAUGAUGUCACCAAUUUAUACUUCUGUGUGAUGAUAUCAAUACGAAUCUCAAAUAAUAUGAACGCAUAGAGGCUGUCCUCUAUUAUUUCUGGUAAUACACUAUGACAAAAUGAUGAAUGGAUGUGAUGCAAGCUAUAUGUGGUUUUGGAAAGCAAUAUAUGG